GGUUGAAUGGUGUAACGGUAGCACAUAGGAUUUUGACAUGAAUCCUCUGACCCUCCUCGUGAGGGGUUGAGUUGAUUAGAUGUUCCUGCGACCUGGGUUCGACUCCCAGUUCGACCU